rnacentral:rRNA from 1 species
GACGAACGCUGGCGGCGUGCUUAACACAUGCAAGUCGAACGGAAAGGCCCUGCUUUUGUGGGGUGCUCGAGUGGCGAACGGGUGAGUAACAAGUGAGUAACCUGCCCUUGACUUUGGGAUAACUUCAGGUAACUGGGGCUAAUACCUGAUAGAUACUCCGGCUGCAUGGUGGGGGUUGGAAAGUUUCGGCGGUUGGUGAUUGGCUCGCGGCUUAUCCUCUUGUUGGUGGGGUAGUGGCUUACCAAGGCUUUGACGGAUAGCCGGCCUGAGAGGGUGGCCGGCCACAUUGGGACUGAGAGACGGCCCAGACUCCUACGUGAGGCAGCAGUGGGGAAUAUUGCACAAUGGGCGGAAGCCUGAUGCAGCAACGCCGCGUGCGGGAUGACGGGCUUCGGGUUGUAAACCGCUUUCGCCUGUGCCGCAGCGUGAGUGACGGUAAUGGGUAAAGAAGCACCGGCUAACUACGUG